AGUGAACGCUGGCGGUAGGCCUAACACAUGCAAGUCGAACGGCAGCACAGUAAGAGCUUGCUCUUACGGGUGGCGAGUGGCGGACGGGUGAGGAAUACAUCGGAAUCUACUUUUUCGUGGGGGAUAACGUAGGGAAACUUACGCUAAUACCGCAUACGACCUACGGGUGAAAGAAGGGGAUCUUCGGACCUUGCGCGAUUGAAUGAGCCGAUGUCGGGUUAGCUAGUUGGCGGGGUAAAGGCCCACCACGGCGACGAUCCGUAGCUGGUCUGAGUGGAUGAUCAGCCACACGGGAACUGAGACACGGUCCAGACUCCUACGGGAGGCAGCAGUGGGGAAUAUUGGACAAUGGGCGCAAGCCUGAGCCAGCCAUACCGCGUGGGUGAAGAAGGCCUUCGUGUUGUAAAGCCCUUUUGUUGGGAAAGAAAAGCAGCAGGUUAAUACCCCGCUGUUCUGACGGUACCCAAAGAAUAAGCACCGGCAAACUUCGU
rnacentral:rRNA from 1 species